rnacentral:lncRNA from 1 species
GCGGCCGCCUCUGAGUCGUUGCCCGCAGGGCGGGCCGGGCGGGAUGCGCCGCGGGACCCCGGUCCUGGCCUCCGGCCGUCGCCGCCGCCGCGGCUGAGACCCCCCCUCCCCCAAAACCUCCUGUGACGCCGCAGCCAUGGAGAGUGGCCCGCGUGUGGAGCCCGGCCCGGGCGCACCCGCAGCUGUGUUAGCCAGGAUCCCCCAAGAGCCAAGACCCUCUCCAGAAGGUGACCCUUCCCCUCCACCGCCACCAACACCGAUGUCAGCCUUGGUUCCUGACACUCCCCCGGACACCCCUCCUGCCAUGAAGAAUGCCUCUACCCCUCAGCAGCUCCCCCUGGAACCAGUGAGUCCCACUGGGCAGGUCUCACCUCAGCCAGCUCCCCCACCGGAUGAAUGCCCAUCCUCAGAAGCAAAGAGCAGGGGACCCACCCCCACAGCCACAGGACCACGGGAUGCCAAGCCUUCUCAAAGGAGCAGCCAACCAUCCCCAACAGCAGUGCCAGCCUCUGACAGCCCUUCUGCCAAGCAAGACGUAAAGAAGGCAGGAGAGAGACACAAGCUUGCCAAAGAGCGCCGAGAAGAGCGGGCCAAGUACCUGGCCGCCAAGAAAGCAGUGUGGCUGGAGAAGGAGGAGAAGGCCAAGGCGCUCCGGGAAAAGCAACUCCAGGAGCGUCGCCGUCGGCUGGAGGAGCAGAGGCUUAAAGCGGAACAGCGCCGGGCUGCCCUGGAGGAGCGGCAGAGACAGAAGCUUGAGAAAAACAAGGAGCGCUAUGAAGCAGCAAUCCAGCGGUCAGUGAAGAAGACAUGGGCUGAGAUCCGGCAACAGCGCUGGUCCUGGGCAGGGGCCCUGCACCACAACUCCCCUGGACGUAAGACCAGUGGGAGCAGGUGCUCCGUGUCGGCAGUAAACCUGCCCAAACACGUGGACUCUAUAAUCAACAAGCGGCUCUCAAAGUCCUCUGCCACGCUCUGGAACUCCCCCAGUAGAAAUCGCAGCCUGCAGCUGAGCGCAUGGGAGAGCAGCAUUGUGGAUCGUCUGAUGACGCCCACCCUCUCCUUCCUGGCUCGGAGUCGCAGCGCGGUCACACUGCCCCGCAACGGCAGGGACCAGGGUAGGGGCAGCGGCCCUGGGAGACGCCCCACAAGGGCCCGGGCAGGGGCCAGCCUCGCGCCCGGGCCACACCCCGACCGCACUCAUCCCUCUGCAGCCGUGCCAGUGUGCCCGCGCUCGGCCUCCGCCAGCCCCCUGACGCCUUGUAGCGCCCCUCGGAGCGCGCACCGCUGCACCCCGUCCGGGGAGCGCCCAGAACGGCGCAAGCCCGGCGCCGGUGGCAGCCCCGCACUGGUGCGUCGCCGGCUGGAAGCCACGCCGGUGCAGAAAAAGGAGAAGAAGGACAAGGAGCGGGAAAACGAGAAGGAAAAGAGCGCCCUGGCCCGUGAACGGAACCUCAAGAAGCGCCAGUCGCUGCCAGCAUCCAUCAGACCCCGGAUCUCCACAGGCGCUGAGCUCAGCACUAAGUCCAAGGCCCGGCCAACCUCUCCCUCUACAACCUGGCACAGACCUGCCUCCCCCUGCCCCAGCCCAGGACCAGGCCAUACCCUUCCUCCAAAACCACCAUCUCCCCGAGGCACCACUGCAUCACCCAAGGGGCGGAUUCGGAGGAAGGAGGAGGCAAAAGAGAGCCCCAGCCCAUCGGGACCGGAGGAUAAGAACCACAGCAAGAGCAGAACCGCUGAGGAGAAGGAGCCAGCUGCCCCAGCUUCACCGGCGCCCUCCCCAGUGCCCUCACCCACCCCAGCCCAGCCUCAGAAGGAGCAGUCCUCCACACAGAUCCCUCCAGACACCGCUGUCCCGGCUGUCCCCACUGUCCCUACUUUCCCGACUGCCCCUCCUACCGCUGCUCCCUCGGUGACCCCUAGCAAACCCAUGGCCGGCACCACAGACCGAGAAGAAGCCACUCGGCUCCUGGCAGAGAAGCGGCGCCAGGCUCGGGAACAGAGGGAACGGGAAGAACAGGAGCGGAAGCUACAGGCUGAAAGGGACAAACGAAUGCGGGAGGAGCAGCUGGCCCGGGAGGCUGAAGCCCGGGCUGAACGUGAGGCUGAGGCCCGGAGAAGGGAGGAGCAAGAGGCUCGAGAGAAGGCGCAGGCUGAGCAGGAGGAGCAGGAGCGGCUGCAGAAGCAGAAAGAGGAAGCCGAAGCUCGGUCCCGGGAAGAAGCUGAGCGCCAGCGCCUGGAGCGGGAAAAGCACUUUCAGAAGGAGGAACAGGAGAGACAAGAGCGAAGAAAGCGGCUGGAGGAGAUAAUGAAGAGGACUCGGAAGUCAGAAGCCGCAGAAACCAAGAAGCAGGAUGGAAAGGAGACCAUGGCUAACAAUUCUGGCCCAGACCCUGUGAAAGCUGUAGAAACUCGGCCCUCUGGGCUACAGAAGGAUUCUAUGCAGAAAGAGGAGCUGGCCCCCCAGGAGCCACAGUGGAGCCUGCCAAGCAAGGAGAUGCCAGGGUCCCUGGUAAAUGGCCUGCAGCCUCUCCCAGCGCACCAGGAGAACGGCUUCCCCGCAAAGGGAACUGCCGGGGACAAGAGUCUGGGUCGAGCAGCAGAGGGACUCCUCCCAUUCGCAGAGGCAGACGCUUUUCUCAAGAAAGCGGUGGUGCAGCCUCCACAAGUCACAG